rnacentral:lncRNA from 1 species
AGCCGAGUGAGACAAAAGCGCUGUGUUCAUUUCAGCUGAAGAGGAGCCGCUGCACGGACGCCAAAGUAUCCUUAUAAAACCACCCUAAUUUGCAAAGUGGUGCUAUAUGUGGAAGUGCGGCGUCCUGUUCCUGCACGCUAGACCCACAUAAAUGCUGGACAAAAACUUCCGGACGCUAGGGAAGCCGCGACAGCGAGCUGCUUCCUAGCAAACACCUCCAGAAUCAUCGCUCACUCCGACUGAACUGACACACUUGGCUUUUCGAUCAAUGUCGAGAACGUUGUCGCAGGGAGUCAGUCACAGCUCAAGGGACGUGUGCAAACGACAGAGUGGCCAGCAAGGACAUGGCGGUGAUGUCAAGUGCUGUCCAGCGAGCAGAUGGAGCCAUUAAUGGAGGGGAAAAAAGAGAUCUGAGUGGGACUGAUAGAUGCCUUAACAAGGCACCUUUAAUGAGGUAUUCCAGAAGCCUCUCUUUGUACUCGCUCUUUCCCUGUCCAGAAUCCUCCGUGCGUCUCGUGUCCCAGAGCUGCGGUGACUCAGAGACGCCAGAGUUAUGUUUUACUUAGCGCGACAGUAAUAAGGUCACAUUAUCUGGAGUUGUCCCGUGUAAUGAAAUACUGAUCUCAGUAAAGCUUCUGUCAUUUUGAUUCUCUUUGAGACGGCCGCGCUCCCUGGUUAUUUAGGGACGGCGGCUUUGUCUCAGUGCGGAGACAAAGAGAAGAAGAAACCCGAUAAUCCCGGGCGCAUUUCUCUUAUCAUGGGCCCACCAACAUGAUUCACUUGAUAAUGAGCAAUGUGUCAUUUCUGACAUUUCCAACUGAUGGCGGCCGGCGUCCACGGGCGCCACAGGCAUGCCCACGUGUUGCUUCCUUUGCGUCCAUGCGGACGACCUUCUCAACCAGCUGGACUCAUCGACUUCCUGCCUGCUGCGAUCAGCAACAACGCCGUGCGCGUUCCCGGUGCACACGCGCGCACGGCGUUGUUGUUGAUCGCCGCUCCCGGCUGGCGCUCAGAUUAUUGGGACAUGUCCCCGAGCGUGUGCAGAUUAAUGUGACCUGCACAGGAUGUGGGGACGGAAGAGGUCGACAAAGGAGGGAAGGCGAGAGGGCCUCUGGGUUGAGCUGUCAAAUGGACCUUCGGAGGGAAAGAAAUAUGCUGGGCCCGUCUCAUCCAGACCCGACCAGACGCUCCCAUGCAAUAUUGAAGAGACUUGGAGUGAAGGAACAGUACAAUGUGACCUAAAAACAGCAGCUAAAAUGCCUUCAAGGCGUAUAUGAUUAGCUGUUAUCUGGAGCGCAACUUUGAAAUGUUUACACUAAAAUCGUACUGGAAAAAGAUUUAUGGAGCGGGUCAAAAGUCCUGUUGCAUUUAGAAAACAAGACACUCAGAGGCCUAAAUACCUCGACUCUGGAUGACCCGGAGAGGAGAGAAACUUCAUUAAUAUGGAGGCAAGUGAGUCAAAUAAACCAUUCAAGCCAAAGUUCAUGAGACACGUGGAGGAAAUAUUUCCUAACGCCUAACGCCCG